rnacentral:misc_RNA from 1 species
GAUGAAGAACGCAGCGAAAUGCGAUAAGUAAUGUGAAUUGCAGAAUUCAGUGAAUCAUCGAAUCUUUGAACGCACAUUGCGCCCCUUGGUAUUCCGAGGGGCAUGCCUGUUCGAGCGUCAUUAUAACCCCUCAAGCUCAGCUUGGUGUUGGGGCCUCUGCACUGGCAGCCCUUAAAAUCAGUGGCGGCGCCAUCUGGCUCUAAGCGUAGUAAUUCUUCUCGCUAUGGAGUCCUGGUGGAUGCUUGCCAUCAACCCCCAAUUGUUCUAUGGUUGACCUCGGAUCAGGUAGGGAUACCCGCUGAACUUAAGCAUAUCAAUAAGCGGAGGA